GACGUAGGGGGCCAGCGUUGUUCGGAAUUACUGGGUGUAAAGGGUUCGUAGGCGGUGCGGCAAGUUGGGAGUGAAAUCUCUGGGCUUAACCCAGAGGCUGCUUCCAAACUGCUGUGCUUGAGUGUGGGAGAGGCGCGUGGAAUUGCAGGUGUAGCGGUGAAAUGCGUAGAUAUCUGCAGGAACACCCGUGGCGAAAGCGGCGCGCUGGACCACUACUGACGCUGAGGAGCGAAAGCCAGGGAGCAAACGGG
rnacentral:rRNA from 1 species